UUCCUGGUUCGCCGAGCUGUUUCUGUUUU
rnacentral:piRNA from 1 species